UGAGUUAGUUACGAUUCUGCAAAAUUUCUAAAAACAUUUCUGUUUUAAAACUGCACGUCUAAUGAUAUUGUACUUUCAAUGAACGCUUAAUGUGAUGAAUUUUUGAUGAACGUUUGAACAUUUAACAAACGUGAUGAACGUUUAACAAUGAAUGCUUAACGUCAUUUUUCUGUUUUCUGUAUAAUAGACCUUUUUAAAACUACCCACGUUGUUUGAAAAACACCACGAGCUGAAAAAUACCACGGUUUUCUUCAAUUUUCAACAAGCUGUUAAAAAUGGAAUGAAAAAAAAGUGAUAGUACGAUAAGAAUGAAAACAUUAUUAAUGACUAAGUUUAAAAAUUCAAAUACCGCAAGCAUUUUUCAUAUUGAGACAGAAUUGAGAAUGAUACAAGAGAAUGUGGUGCAAAAGAAAAUUUAUUUACCAGUUAUUUACGUGUGUUUGUUGGGCGAAAUUUGGUCAUAAGCACACAAAUUUUAAUGAAUUCGUAAUUCUAAUUUUAAUGAAAUUUGUUUUACUUUUCAUAUCAACUAAUAUAAAAAUUAUAAUAAUUUAAAAUUCAAAGUAUGAGUUCAACAAAAAAAUAUUUUAAUUUUGCUUUUUAUGGUUACAAAA